UCAGAUCUAUCAAUAUCUGAAAUGUCUUGCAAAAUAUAUGAUUUCAUAUUUUUGGAACAGUAUACAGCAAGCAUAGUAUCAGAGUAACCUCCAUAUGUAGUAGUUCCAACAAAAGUGCUUUGCCACUAAUUUUCAAGAUUCUUAGUGCAGUCACCGCAGGAGUGACAUGACUCAACCAUGCAACUUUAUCUUCAAUUUUGAUUUUUUUAACUUAUAGAAUAAAACCAGCAAAAUUAUAAUAUUCAAAAUUUAAAUUUAUUAAAUAUUAUUUUCUUAUAAAUAAUUAUAUAACUAAAAUUAAAUAUCACCUCUGUCACUGAACCAACAAUCUCAUGAGAUUGUUGAGAGUUGUUUAUAAUCUAUUAACCUACGCUUAAUUUAAUAAAUAGUGCGUGGACACUUGGACAGGCAACGUUGAUUUUAUACUGCAGGCUCCCAGGCUCCUCUGGCAAAACAGUUGCAAGCACUGCCUCCUGUUGUCUACCCACAUUAGCCAGUUCGGUAACCACUCUAAGCUUAUCAAAAUUCAUGUUUGCACCGCUAGUUAUUGCUACAACAUUCUUUCCCUUAAGGCUGUAAUAUUUGCAAUAUGCUUCAGCUCCCGCAAGGGCUAGGGCACCUGCUGGUUCCAGAAUGCUCCUCUUCUCUUCAAACAUGUCCUGCAACACAAGCAGUACAGCUGUAAAUCCUAAGCAUUCAAACAACCAUGUGUUAAUUAGAUGAAGGCCAUCAGUUAUCCAACAAAAACCAAUAGCACUAGUCAUACUGGAGAGACAACAUUAGACACGAGGAGAGAGAAAAAAUCAUAAGAAGGGCUUCUAACAUCCAUAAGGUUAAGAAUAAAUAAUUAGAGAACAAAUGGUGAUGGGGACAGGCCACACUCUUUCCCGAAAUGGGAAAUAGAACACCAUAAAACUGCAUAAAAAAUUCAAGUUAAACACCCAAUUUGUGAGCAAAACUAACCAGAAGUGAACUACCUUCAUAUGAAGAACCAAAGGCACAUUCCAAUUCCUAAAAUACUACAUCUAGAAUCCAAGUUAAAUCAAAGGUACAAUAUAUUUGAGCUAGAAAUUUGACACUUUGUUUCAAAUUACAAUUUUAGGUAUUUCAAGCCAGCAUUUCAGUUGUUUGCUCAAUUCACAACUGUAUCAUACAAGGACAGAAACGAAUAACUAAAAUAAAGAUUGACAACCUUAAGCUGUAUGUUAAGAGGCACAAAUGGCUCAAUGCAAAGAAGCCAUACCUUUAUAGAGGCACAAAUAGCAUCAUGGUUUACAAGAACGACACCAUCCACCAAUUUCCUACAUAAGCGAAAGGUUUCUUCACCGACUUCCUUAACAGCUACUCCAUCUGCAAAGCCCCCAACCUGGUCCAACAUCACUCUUUCGCCAUGAUGAAGCGACAAUGCCAUUGCAUUUGCAUCAAAAGGCUCCACUCCAAUAAUCUUCACCUGUAUAGUAAUACAACACUAAGUGAUGUGGAUGAAUUACGUCAUGCAGCAAGGAACAAGCACAUUCAAUGUAAUUUCAAACAAGAUAUAGUAUAUGUUUAUAUGAAGGACCCACAUACCCUCGGGGAAACCCUCUUAACAUAAGCAGCAAUGCCAGCUACAAGCCCACCACCACCAAUAGGUACAAAGAUUGCAUGCAAUGGGCCUGGCAUUUGGCGCACAAUCUCCAUCCCAACAGUGCCUUGUCCCAUGAUAACAUCUGGAUGGUCAAAAGGGGGAAUAAAUGUUCGACCUUCCUCUUUAGCCCGUUUUUUAGCAUAUGUUUGUGCCUCAUUAUAAGAAUCUCCAACGAGAACAACAGUUGCGCCCAACCUCUCAACAGAAUGCCACUGCAAAACAAGAAACCAAACAUUCAAAUUAAGAAACCUUAUGUGCUAUGCAAUUGAUACAAAAAACAUCACAAAAUAGCACCUUAAUUUCUGGUGUGGUAACAGGCAUAGCAAUAACAGCAUUGCAACCGAGUCUCUUGGCAGCCAAUGCGACCCCUUGGGCAUGAUUUCCUGCUGAUGAGCAAAUAACCCCUCUUUCUAACUGUCCCUUCGGAAGCUUUGCCAUCAUAUUAUAAGCUCCACGAAGCUUAAAAGAGAAAACCUGAAAAUAUGAAACAUCAAAUCUGUAAGCACUUUAUCUGAAUAUGAAAAACAAUAUUGAACUACAAAAAGAAAAGAUUUCCGCUUUGGCAAUUCAUUAACAGAUUAUAAAAACAAAGACUAAAUUCAACUAAAAAAACAUGUGAAUAUUUACUCAUAACAUCAAUGCAUCUCAGAGCACAUAAAUAAAAAACAAAUAGGGUUUAAUCCAAGCUAAAAAAAAACCAGUCCGUUAAGCUUAAAAUAAGUAAAGCAAAAUCAUAGAAUAUAAACAGUAUUAACUCCCAACACCUCACCAAUCAUAGAAACAAAUAUCAUUAGAAAUGAAAACCCAAAAACCUAAAAGAAAAAAAAAAUAACAAGAAGAUAUUUCGCCAAAUACAAAUUAAAAACCAAAAACUAGAACCUCAAUGGUUGCAAUUUUUAAAUGGAAAAAAGAACCCAAAUCAUGAAAUAAUCCCCCGAAAAAAAAAUCAAUCUUUCAAAAAAAUGAAAACUUUUCUUACAGGCUGUAAAUCUUCUCUCUUAAGCCAAACUUGAUUACCCAAUCGUUCAGACAACUUAGUCGCCAACUGUAACGGUGACUCUAUCGCCACAUCAUAAACCUUCGACGACAAAAUAUUCGUUAAAUACUCCAUCGCAUUUACUACGUCGCCGUUUCCUUCAUCCAUUGAACGUUCCGGUACCGCGCCUAAGUAACCUGACGGAUACCGCAGGGAAUUAGCAGACACCUUCUUCGGCGGCGCAGAAGGAACCACAGCAGAAGUUGACGACGACGAAACGAAGCGUUAUCGAGAGAAGUAACGGUCGGAGAAGAGAUAUCAGCCAUCGGUUUCGACACAGCGGCUCUGAUCCACGGGCGGAUACAUUUCUUUGUAAUGUGGCGCGCAGUAAAUGAUGUAGUUGGGACCCUCUCUUUGUGGCGGAGUAGCGGCGGAUGAGGUGGCGUGAGGCGAAGAGCCUCCAUUGGUUUUAAAUUUUUGAAAAUUUAAAGAAAAAAAAUAGAAAAACCAAAGAGAAAACGUGGUGGUGAAAAGAAAAUACGCUUUCUAACUCUAAGACGUCGGGCGGCUUUUGGAGGGGACCUUAUAGUUUAUAAAGACAAAGGAGGGAGGGUAAAUGGUUUUUCAUUUGGCGCAAUUUUUGGAGUGAACAAAUGGAGGCUAUGAAAGAUUGACACCUGGUGAAAAUGACGUAAGCAUGUCACUGUACCUGACGGGUUUCGUGCACUGCGGGUGACGGAUGGUAAGUGUUCUAUUUUAAAAUGCACAAGGAAGGAGUGUGCUCCGUUGACUCGAAACUCAACACCGUGAGACAACAGACCAGACACGCUGUGUGGAAAGAAAGAUGGAGCGAGUUUCAUUCAAUUUCAAGUAAGUUUUCGGUUGGAAUUUCCUUUUUAUUUUUUAUUUUAAGAGAAGAAAAUUCACACCCUUCCAAUAGGUAUUGUUGAGUCUCAAAUGUGAAAUUUUCAUAUUUGUUAGGAUGCAUUUCAAUGUAAAAAAGAAAAAAGAAAAAAAAGCUAACAAAUAUAUUUUUAAUUUCAUGAUAUAAAAAAUGAAACUCUUUAUCUGUAAUUAUAUAAUCAUAAUUUAAAUUUAUUUAAAAUUUAUUGCUUAUAAAUAUAGCAGUGAGGAUUUUACGUAAUAUUUUAUGAUUAAUUAAUUUUAUGACAUUAAUUUCGUAUAAUAUUCUAAAAAAAGAAAAAAACAUUGUUUCAAGGUGACAAUCAAUGUCAUGAAAUACAAUGUUAAAGAUGAAUUUUUGUUAUUUGUCUUGGGUUAUUUAUGUUGGCUUAUUAGAAUUAUUGAUUGUUAUGUCAUGCGAAAAUGACUACAAAGUUAGGCCAAAUUAACAAAGAUUAUCGUCAAAGCUUAAUUAUAUAAAAUUAAGGCCAAACAAAGAUUAGCUCAAUCUAUGCCUAAGAUUAAAAAUCUUUCAUCAGUGGCUGAGAAAAUAUGAAACAUUACUCGAACACUACUAAAUCAUCAUCUUAAUCAAGAGAGGACAUUCUAAAAUCUUUACUAUAAAAUUAGGCCAACGAGUAUUGUCAAAUCUUAAUUAUAUAAAAUUAAGACCAAACAAAGAUUAGCUCAAUCUAUGCCUAAACUUAAAAAUCUAUAAAAUUUCAUUAGUGGCUAAGAAAUUACGAACGUUCCUCGAACACUAAUAAAUCGUCAUCUUAAUUUGAAAAAUGACAUACUAAAAUCUUUACUACAAAGUUAGGCCAAAUUAAGAAAGAUUAUCGUCAAAGCUUAAUUAUAUAAAAUUAAGGCUAAACAAUGAUUAGCUCAAUCCCUACCUAAGCCUAAAAUAUCUAGAAAUUUUCUUUAGUGGCUAAAACUUUAUAAAUGUUACUCGAAUACUACUAAAUCAUCGUCCUAAGCUAAAAAGGGACACUCUAAAAUUCUUAAAUUUAGGUGAAUUUCGUUUAAUGUUUUGUUAAUUUAUUACUUUUUUAUAAUACAAUAAUACUUAUAUCAUAUCCGUUGAAUAAUGCUCAUUAAAUUGUAUAAUUUGUAUUCCUAUAACUAAUGUUGUAAAAAAGUAAACAUUGUUUGUCAUUAAUUAAUACUAAUUAUGCUGUGGACUAAUGCUUGACUUCAUCUCCUUAGAUACGGUGUUGUGAAUUUAAGUCAUUUUAAAUUAGGGAAUGGUCACGUGGGUUUAAGUCAUUUUAAAUUAGGGAAAUAAAAGGAAGGUGGAUAAGUACGUGCAUGUGAGUUAAAGUCAUCAGUUUUGUACAAAAAAUAUUGUAAAAAUUCUUACUUGACACAAAAGAGGUGGCCAUAUGCUAAAAAAGUAAUUAAGGAUAUAAAUAGGAGUAUAAUCGAUUAAAUUGGAAUUGAUAUAGUAUUAAAUUUAAGUUUAAAUUUGACUUUAAAUUUGAGAUUUAAAAUUCGGUUCAAAUUUAAUUAAAUUUUAUUUUUUUAAUUAAAGUUCAAUUCGAAAUAAAAAUUAAGUCAUUCCAGCUCGCUUGAUUAACAUGUAAAAAUAAAUUUUAUUUUUAUAUUUGAUAAAAGUUCGAUUAUUUAUGUUCAAACUAAAACUCGAAUUCGAGAUAUUUUAUUAAUUAAAAUAAUUAUAAUAUAUUAUAAUAUAAAAACUCAAUUAAACUUUUAAGUAAUUCGAAUCGAAUAUAAAAAUGUUUGAAUUCGAUUUAAUCGAUAAAUUAAAUUAUUCGAAUUUAAGUUUGAUUCAAUAAUAAUCGAAUUAAAUUUAAAUUUUAUUUUAAUUGAAUCUAAGUAACUUACAAGUACUAAUAUAUUAUUUAUACUCUUAAAUAUAAAUACAGGUCUUAUUAAAAAGUUUUAAGUUAGAAAAUUGACGGUGGAUUCUCCUAGUCAUAACCAAAAUAAUGAUGUUUCAUGUUGGAAUUUGAAAUUCCCUUUUCAUAUAUACAUCAUUUAAUAAAUGCUUUGGCCACUUACUCAUAUGCUUUUUCCUAUCUAAAUAAAAAUAAUAUUUUAUUAAAAUUUAAAAUUACAUUAUUAUAUAAAAAGUUAUCUCCUUUGCAGAUAAUAAAGUUUUUAAAUUCUAAAAAUAUGAAGAUCACACACACAUAUAUAUAUAUAUAUUAAAAAUAUAUAUAUGAUAAUUUUUAAUCUUAUUUAUAAAAUAAAAAAAUUAUACUGUUAGCGUACUCUUAUUUUAUUAUUGAGUACAUAUAUAACAAAUUAAUCAACCAUACACCAAAAGUUGGUAGACCUAAUUAUCAACCAACGAAUGUUUUCACAUAAUUACAUAAUUAAAGUUUCAGUAUAACCCUUAGCUUUUUUUUUUUAAUUUUCUAGGAUAAUAUUUUUAUAGCACCUGGCAGAAUAUAAUGUCAUUGUCUUUGAAUAAUUUUUAAAAAUAAAAAAUUGAAUGAACCCAAUACCUAAAUAUAUAACUAUAUGUGUACGUAUCGGACUGACAAUCAUGUGUAAAAUAAAUAAAUAAAUAAAUAAAAUAAAUAGAAGACGAGAUUCAAUUAAAGAGGACAAGAAAACCUAAAUAAAAGAAAGACUGGAUUGAUGCUGCCUUUCUUUCAACCCAACAUCUUGAUGUGGAAAAAAAUUUUAAAAAGUAAAAAAAUGUUAAAAACUUGGUUGUUACAUAAAUUUUUCAUAUAUAUAUUUUUGUGUUUCACAUGCUAUUUAAAAAUUAUUUAUUUUUUAAAAAAAUCAGUCCAAAGAAAAUUAGUUCAUCUCACUGGAGUUUGGACUUUUGGGGUCUCAAAAAGAGUUGUUGGCGUUAGAUAGUUUUGUUCAUUUAUUUAAUGUGCCAAGACUCUUGAUUAAAACAAAAAAAUAAAUAAUUUAUUGUCUAAUUCUAUUGAAAUGUUUUAUUAUAAAAAUUUAAAUGAAAGCAAGUUAUUUCAUUUCAAAUCAAAGCAUAUUAUAAAUUUUAAAGAAAAUUUACAUUAAUUUUAUUAAUCAUUCAUAAAAAAUCGUUUGCAAUAAAAAGUUAAAAAUCAAAUAUAAAUCUUAUGAACAAAACAUUCCGUUUUUAUCUAUUUAACCAACAUCCUUUAAACUAAUUUUAUUAAAUUGUUAUUAAAGAUUUUAUAUACGCUGCAUGCAUUAGGUAUAGGAAAAGGACCAGUAGAACAUUUAUAAAAAAGAAACUUGUUAAAGAUGCUUUUUUUUUUGUACAAAUUAUAUACUAGAUUAAAUUGUUUUUAGAGAAGUUAUUAAUUAUAUUAACAGUUGAAAUUUUUAAGUUUAUAAGUGAAUUUAAGAUAAUGAUAUAUAUUUUUUAAUGUAUAUUUAAAACAUUAAAAAAUUUUAAUUAAAAAAAAUAUGUAUUAUUAUUUUAAUUUCAUUUAUAAAAUUAAAAAAUUUUAUGUUAAUAUAUCAAAUAAAUAUAUCAAAUAAAUGGUUAGAGGGUUGUGAGAAUGUAAUUUUUUAUGAAUAUUUUAGAUUCAGUAUAAAUAAAUUUUAAGAUAAAUGAAUAACUUGGAUAAAUUAAUAAAAUUAAUUUAUAUAAAAUCUUGGGGUUGAAAUUUUGGUAUGGUGAUAAAUAAUGGGAAAAAAAAAAGAAAAAAAGAAACAAAUUUAGUUUCUUUUUUUUUUAAAUAAAAACUCGUUUAAGGAAAUGAUAAGUAUAAAAAAAUAAAUAAAUAAUGGGAUAAAAGGUUCCAGAUGGUCCAUUGGACCCUUAAAGCUCCAGCCCUAAGCUGGUGUGUUAUUUAGUUUCUUUUUUUUUUUUUAAUAAAAACUCGUUUAAGGGAAUGAUAAGUAUAAAAAAAUAAAUAAAUAAUGGGAUAAAAGGUUCCAGAUGAUCCAUUGGACCCUUAAAGCUCCAGCCCUUAGCUGGUGUGUUAGUGUGGUCCACAGACCCAAACACAACACAACUGAUGUUACCCAAACAUUAGUAAUGGUGAGAUUGGUCAAAAAACGUGGCCUAAAAUCACCGUACCGGGUCCAAUCAAAACCAAAUGAGGCCUAAAUGUUCUAGCUAUAUUUGAUAACUGCUUGUCUUUUGGGUUUUAAGGAAAAGAUUUUUGACCAAUGUGUUUAAAUAUAAUUUUACUUUAAUAAAAUCUUGUAUAUGAUUUUUUAAAUUCAAAAUUAAUUUGACAUGACUAAAAUUAUUAUUAUAUUAAUAAAUAAUAUAUUUAUUUAAUUUUAUUUAAAAAAUUAAAAUAUUAAUAUUAAAAGUUUUUUAAUAUUUUUAUAAUUCUAUUCAAAUAAGAUUUUGAACAUGAUAGCUUAAGUUUGAGUUUGAUUUGAUUCAACUUGAAAUAUCAUUAUAUUAAUAAAAAUAUUUUAUUUAAGUUUAAUUAAAAAGUUAAUAUAUUAACAUUAAAAGUCUUUUGAUAUUUUGAUUUUAAAUAUUUUUUGUAUAUUAUUAAAUAUAAAUAUUUUUAAUAUUUCAAUAAUAAACAAUAUUCUAUUAUUAUAUUAAUAAUAAACAAUAACAUAUUUAACAAUAUUUUUAUUAUUCUAAUAAUUAAUAUUAAAUAAUAUAAUAAUAUUAUUUUAGUAAUAUGAAUAUUUUUAGUAAUUUCUUAAUUUUUUAGUUUAAAAUAUAUUAUUUAUAUUUUAUUUAUUAAGGUAUUUUAUUACUAUUUUAACAAUAAAUAUAAAAAAGAAUUGUUUUUGUUAAGAUUUAAUAAUAAAUACUUUUAAAAUAAAAAAUAAAUAUUUUAAUACUAUAAAUAUUUUGAUAUUUUAAAAAUAAAUAUUACUAUUUUAAUAUUAUAAUAAUUAUAAAAAUAAUAUUUUAAGAAUAGUAAUAUUAUUUUAAAUAUUUUAAUUUGUUAAUAUAAAGAAUAAUAAAUAGUUUUGUUUUAUGUGUUUUUUAUAUUAGUAUAAUAUUUUAAUUUUAAAUAUUAAUAAAAUAUAAUUAUUUUUAAUAUUAAUAAUUUUAAUAGUAAAUAAUUUCAAAAUACUUUAAUAAUAAAUAAUUCUAAUAUUUAUGUCAAUAUUAUUAUUUUUUAAAUAAAAUUUUAAAAAAAUCAGAUAACAAAAAAUAUUUUCAUUGACUCAUGACUCAUCCAAAUAAUAGAUAAUAUCACUUUUUCCAAAAAUAUAAACAUUUUCUAUAAAAUAUUUUUUGAAAGUUAAUUUCCGUAAAACAAGCGAACCUUUUUGUUUAUUUUGGCAAUAAAAAAUAAAACAAACAAAAAGAAUGAAUAUACAAAACUAAAAACAAAAUAAUAAAAGUAAAAGCGUUUAUUAAAUGAGCUUAAAUGUUGAUAAACUUGUUUUUUAUCACCUAGUUUGUACCAUUUAUGAGUAGUCCAUUAACUAGGUUUGACAAUUUGUAUUCUUAUAUUGUGUUUAUGUCAUAUUGAGAAGUGUAAUUAUACGAAUUAUUGAAAUACAAAUAUAGCAUGAAUUAUAAAAUAUAUUUAAAUUUUGAAUACAACACGUUUAUUAUAUGUAUUACAUGCGAUACGAUAUAAUUAACAUAUAUAUAAUUAAUUUAUUUACACAUGAUAUGAACAAAUAUGAAUAAUACGGAUAUACACGAAUAGAUACGACUAAUAUAUAUAUAUAUACGAAUAAACACGACUAAUAUUAAUAUAUAUAAAAAUAUGACUAAAAUAAUAAAUAAUUAUAAAUUAUCAAUCAAUUACAACUUAAUAAAUUUGAUAUACGACUUGCAUAUUAAAAAUAAUAAAAAAAUUAAAUACCCAUUUAAUAUGUACUUAAUAUAUAUAUUUAAAUUUUAAUAUAUAUUACAUAACUAUAAUAAUUUUUAGUAUUAAAUUCAAAAUGAUAAAUUAUUGAAGAUUAAAAAAUAAAAUAAUGAUGUAUAAGACUAGUAUUAAUAUUUAUAUUUUAUUUAUAUUAUUAAUAUAAAAAUAAUUUUAUAAUAAUUAUUAAAUGAGUAUCAUAAUUCAAUGUUUAAAAUAAUCUUUAUAUGCUAUUGAAAAACUAAUUAAGUAUCGUAAUUAAAAAAUUAAAAAUUAAAAUAACUUUUAUAUGUUUAUAUUAAAUUAAAGUACAUAUAAAAAUAUUUUAAAUGCAGACUCAUAGGACAAAAAUAAAUUAAAUAUAUUUUUUGUGUCAGAAUACAUGUUAACAUGUAUCCGUAUGAUACAUUUUAUCUAAACGUGUCUUACAUAUAUUUAGAUUUAUUAAUAAAUAUUUAAACGUACCAAUACAUAUACUGUAUAAAUUAUAUCAUAUGAAAAUUUAUAUCAAUACAAAUAAAUAUAAAACAUAUUUUUUUAAAAUAUGUAUAUAUUAUUUUUUAUAUUAAUUUUAUAUCAUAUCAUCAUAUUAUAUAUGAAAUUAUCAGAUCUAUCAAUAUCCGAAAUGUCUUGCAAAAUUUAUGAUUUCAUAUUUUUGGAACAGUAUACAGCAAGCAUAGUAUCAGAGUAACCUCCAUAUGUAGUAGUUCCAACAAAAGUGCUUUGCCACUAAUUUUCAAGAUUCUUAGUGCAGUCACCGCAGGAGUGACAUGACUCAACCAUGCAACUUUAUCUUCAAUUUUGAUUUUUUUAACUUAUAGAAUAAAACCAGCAAAAUUAUAAUAUUCAAAAUUUAAAUUUAUUAAAUAUUAUUUUCUUAUAAAUAAUUAUAUAACUAAAAUUAAAUAUCACCUCUGUCACUGAACCAACAAUCUCAUGAGAUUGUUGAGAGUUGUUUAUAAUCUAUUAACCUACGCUUAAUUUAAUAAAUAGUGCGUGGACACUUGGACAAGCAACGUUGAUUUUAUACUGCAGGCUCCCAG
rnacentral:lncRNA from 1 species